ACCUGCCCAUCAGAAGGGGAUAACACUUGGAAACAGGUGCUAAUACCGUAUAACAAUCGAAACCGCAUGGUUUCGGUUUGAAAGGCGCUUUUGCGUCACUGAUGGAUGGACCCGCGGUGCAUUAGCUAGUUGGUGAGGUAACGGCUCACCAAGGCAACGAUGCAUAGCCGACCUGAGAGGGUGAUCGGCCACAUUGGGACUGAGACACGGCCCAAACUCCUACGGGAGGCAGCAGUAGGGAAUCUUCGGCAAUGGACGGAAGUCUGACCGAGCAACGCCGCGUGAGUGAAGAAGGUUUUCGGAUCGUAAAACUCUGUUGUUAGAGAAGAACAAGGAUGAGAGUAGAAUGUUCAUCCCUUGACGGUAUCUAACCAGAAAGCCACGGCUAACUACGUGCCAGCAGCCGCGGUAAUACGUAGGUGGCAAGCGUUGUCCGGAUUUAUUGGGCGUAAAGCGAGCGCAGGCGGUUUCUUAAGUCUGAUGUGAAAGCCCCCGGCUCAACCGGGGAGGGUCAUUGGAAACUGGGAAACUUGAGUGCAGAAGAGGAGAGUGGAAUUCCAUGUGUAGCGGUGAAAUGCGUAGAUAUAUGGAGGAACACCAGUGGCGAAGGCGGCUCUCUGGUCUGUAACUGACGC
rnacentral:rRNA from 1 species